rnacentral:rRNA from 1 species
CCUACGGGUGGCAGCAGUGAGGAAUAUUGGUCAAUGGGCGCAAGCCUGAACCAGCCAAGUCGCGUGAGGGAAGACGGCCCUACGGGUUGUAAACCUCUUUUGCCGGGGAGCAAGCCUGAGCACGUGUGCCCAGGCGGAGAGUACCCGGAGAAAAAGCAUCGGCUAACUCCGUGCCAGCAGCCCCGGUAAUACGGAGGAUGCGAGCGUUAUCCGGAUUGAUUGGGUUUAAAGGGUGCGCAGGCGGGCUGUUAAGCCGGCGGUAAAAUUCAGGGCUCAACCCUGUCGAGCCGUCGGAACUGGCAGCGUUGAGUGGGCGAGAAGUAUGCGGAAGGCGUGGUGUAGCGGUGAAAUGCAUAGAUAUCACGCAGAACGCCGAUUGCGAAGGCAGCAUACCGGCGCCCGACUGACGCUGAGGCACGAAAGCGUGGGGAUCGAACAGGAUUAGAUACCCCUGUAGUC